rnacentral:rRNA from 1 species
CGCAUCUGUGCAUGCAGCAUAUCAAUAAGGCGGAGGAAAAGGCUGCGGAACUGAACGACCGCUACCUACGCUUAGGAUGUUGACACACGCGCGUGCUCGGCUCUAUACAUGACUCUGUGCAUAUCAAUAAGCGGAGGAAAAGAAACUAACAAGGAUUCCCCUAGUAACGGCGAGUGAAGCGGGAAGAGGCUCAAAUUUGAAAUCUUAAAGGGUUUCCCUUUACGAAUUGUAGUUUAAAGAAGUGUUUUCUGUUGAGGUUUUGGUAAAAGUUCUUUGGAAUAGGACAUCAUAGAGGGUGAGAAUCCCGUAUUUGACCUUUACUUUCAACUUUGUGAUACACUUUCAAAGAGUCGGAUUGUUUGGGAAUGCAGUCCAAAAUGGGUGGUAAAUUUCAUCUAAAGCUAAAUAUUGGCGAGAGACCGAUAGCGAACAAGUACCGUGAGGGAAAGAUGAAAAGAACUUUGAAAAGAGAGUUAAACAGUACGUGAAAUUGUCAAAAGGGAAGCGUUUGACACCAGUGUUGUUUUUCUGAAAAUCAAUUAAAGAACUGUUUAUGCUAAGCUGUUUAGACUUUAUCAGCUAUCUGUUUAGUUUUGAGCUUUUCUUUAAUGCACUUUUCAGUUAACAAGUCAACAUCAAUUUCUUUUGCUGUAAAAAAGCUUGAGGAAGGUGGCUUGAGAUUCGUCUUAAGUGUUUAUAGCCUCUUGCCUAUGCAGUCGGAGAGAUUGAGGUCUGCAGCGUAGAUCCUUCGGGGCUAAAUGCAUUUGUGCUAAGUUAUAGCAUUUCAUAGACAACUUGUUGACUAUGAUUUGUCUUGUAGCUUACUCGCUUAUGUUAUUUUACCUACGCUUAGGAUGUUGACAGCAGUAUAGACUG